GACGAACGCUGGCGGCGUGCCUAAUACAUGCAAGUCGAACGCAGUGGGGACGGGUGAGUAACAAGUGGGUAACCUCCCAUCAGAGGGGAUAAAACUUGGCAACAGGUGCUAAACCGAUACUGAUGGAUGGACCCGGGGGGCAUUAGCCAGUUGGUGAGGUAACGGCUUAACAAGGCCACGAUGCAUAGCCGGCCUGCGAGGGUGAUCGGCCAAACUGGGACGUAGACACGGCCCAGACUCCUACGGGAGGCAGCAGUAGGGAAUCUUCGGCAAUGGGCGAAAGUCUGACCGAGCCACGCCGCGGGAGUGAAGAAGGUUUUCCGAUCGUAAAACUCUGUUGUUAGAGAAGCGUUAUCUGACCAGAAAGCCACGGCUAACUCCGUGCCAGCAGCCGCGGUAAUAC
rnacentral:rRNA from 1 species